ACUCAAAGGAAUAGACGGGGGCCCGCACAAGCGGCGGAGCAUGCGGAUUAAUUCGAUGCAACGCGAAGAACCUUACCUGGGUUUGACAUAUAUCGGAAACACCUAGAGAUAGGUGCCCCGCAAGGUCGGUAUACAGGUGGUGCAUGGCUGUCGUCAGCUCGUGUCGUGAGAUGUUGGGUUAAGUCCCGCAACGAGCGCAACCCUCGUUCUAUGUUGCCAGCGGUUCGGCCGGGAACUCAUAGAAGACUGCCGGGGUCAACUCGGAGGAAGGUGGGGAUGACGUCAAGUCAUCAUGCCCCUUAUGUCCAGGGCUUCACGCAUGCUACAAUGGCUGGUACAAAGGGCUGCAAUACCGCAAGGUGGAGCGAAUCCCAUAAAGCCAGUCUCAGUUCGGAUUGGGGUCUGCAACUCGACCCCAUGAAGUCGGAGUCGCUAGUAAUCGCAGAUCAGCAACGCUGCGGUGAAUACGUUCCCGGGCCUUGUACACACCGCCCGU
rnacentral:rRNA from 1 species